rnacentral:lncRNA from 1 species
GGGCGGUUUAAUCUGGACUGAAUUGGAGGAAAGGAACUGGCACCAGAGUGGAGGCUGGAAGGAUGGUGGAACUGACACUGGGACAGAACACAGAAAACAGAAUCUAAUGCUAGGUACCCUAAUGACAAGUUCACCCCAGUGUUUUCUGAGUAGUCUACCUGGAAAUGAGAACCAUCUGUCCUUCCUAUAGUAGUUCUUCUCAGAAUGCCGACUCUAUGCUAAUGGUGA